UAAGUAGAUAGUGAAAUCUGGUGGCUCAACCAUUCAGACUAUUAUCUAAACUGCCAAGCUCGAGACCGUUAGGGGUAACUGGAAUUUCUAGUGUAGGAGUGAAAUCCGUAGAUAUUAGAAGGAACACCGAUAGCGUAGGCAGGUUACUGGGACGGUUCUGACACUAAGGCACGAAAGCGUAGGGAGCAAACGGGAUUAGAUACCCCGGUAGUCUACGCCGUAAACGAUGGAUACUA
rnacentral:rRNA from 1 species